rnacentral:rRNA from 1 species
AGUGAACGCUGGCGGUAGGCCUAACACAUGCAAGUCGAACGGCAGCACAGUAAGAGCUUGCUCUUACGGGUGGCGAGUGGCGGACGGGUGAGGAAUACAUCGGAAUCUACUUUUUCGUGGGGGAUAACGUAGGGAAACUUACGCUAAUACCGCAUACGACCUACGGGUGAAAGCAGGGGAUCUUCGGACCUUGCGCGAUUGAAUGAGCCGAUGUCGGAUUAGCUAGUUGGCGGGGUAAAGGCCCACCAAGGCGACGAUCCGUAGCUGGUCUGAGAGGAUGAUCAGCCACACUGGAACUGAGACACGGUCCAGACUCCUACGGGAGGCAGCAGUGGGGAAUAUUGGACAAUGGGCGCAAGCCUGAUCCAGCCAUACCGCGUGGGUGAAGAAGGCCUUCGGGUUGUAAAGCCCUUUUGUUGGGAAAGAAAAGCAGCAGGUUAAUACCCCGCUGUUCUGACGGUACCCAAAGAAUAAGCACCGGCGAACUUCGUGC